rnacentral:rRNA from 1 species
CGUGUAGGCGGCUUGAUAAGUCAGAUGUGAAAGCCCUGGGCUCAACCUGGGAAGUGCAUUUGAAACUGUCAUGCUUGAGUAGGGGAGAGGGAAGUGGAAUUCCUGGUGUAGAGGUGAAAUUCGUAGAUAUCAGGAGGAACACCGGUGGCGAAGGCGACUUCCUGGCCCUAUACUGACGCUGAGACGCGAGAGCGUGGGUAGCAAACA